rnacentral:rRNA from 1 species
UACGAAGGGGGCUAGCGUUGUUCGGAAUUACUGGGCGUAAAGCGCGCGCAGGCGGUCUUCCAAGUCAGUGGUGAAAGCCCGGAGCUCAACUCCGGAACUGCCAUUGAAACUGUUAGACUUGAGGACGAGAGAGGUGAGUGGAAUUCCCAGUGUAGAGGUGAAAUUCGUAGAUAUUGGGAAGAACACCGGUGGCGAAGGCGGCUCACUGGCUCGUUUCUGACGCUCAGGCGCGAUAGCGUGGGGAUCAAACAGGAUUAGAAACCCCGGUAGUCC